AUUUCUUUCUCCGACUGGUGUCUUUUGGGAAGCGGUACAGUCGGAAGCCCUUCUCCGUCCUAUUGGUGCACCCAAAAGCAGCACAGCAAACCAUGGUGGAAAUGAUUCUGCUGCUACUGCAUGAGACUGCUGCUGUUGAUGGGACGUGCUUUUGCCAGACAUGGCUUAGUUGCAGGAGGCUGGGGGCUGCCCCCUUGCAUGGAUGAGGCAUAAAUGCAAUUUUCUAGUGUGCAGUGUUCAGUGUUCACUUGAAUUUUGUGGAGUACUGUGACUCAGUGAAUUUAAAUGUAUUACUUUAAUAAAUGUUAAUGACACGUAGGAAUGGGCAGCAUAGUUGCAAUGCCUACUCUUGCCACCCGUGUAAGAUGAGAUAACUAACUUUUAGUGUCUGUUUUCACAGAAAUGUGUCUAGCGUGACACUUCUCCACAAUCCACAUGUAAACAGGCAUUUAAAAACAAUAUGGCCAUUUGUCUUGUCCUCUAGAUUCUCUAGGCCCAAGCCGUUAGGGCAGCACAAUACAAUAAAUUAAGUUGCCAAAAAAAA